AACGGCGAAGUUGAACAGGGAAAAGCCCAGCGCUGAAUCCGAUGAUCAUCCGAUUGGUCAUUUAGGAGUUGUAGCGUAUAGGUCGUAGUCAUUUGACGAUUUUCUGUAUACUCUAAGUUCCCUUGACUGGGGCUACAGCCCAUUCGAUGGUGCUAGGCCAGUAAGAGUAUCGGAAUUUUGCCAUAGUUUGGCUACACUUUGGAGUCGAGUUGCCUGGGAUCGCAGCUCAAAGAAGGUGGUAAACUUCAUCUAAGGCUAAAUAUUGCUACGAGGCCGAUAGCCAACAAGUACCGUGAGGGAAAGUUGCAAAGAACUUUGAAGAGAGAGUUCAAGAGUACGUGAAACCGCUGGCAGGGAAUCGGAUAGAGUCGGCGAUUUUCCAGUAGCACUCAACUGAUCAACAUUUUUGGCUACCAUAUGCACCUAACUGUUCAAUCAUUUUUGGUUGAAUAGUAGCACAUUUGGUCAUCCGGUUUUGCCGUAAAUUUGUUCGAUUGGUGCACUUGUUGCUGGGUUUGCGCUAAGACAUUCGCCGGUUUAUGUUUUAGACCAGGACGCAGAGGACUAUAUCACUUGUUGGUAUAGAAACCAUUCGUUGGUUUAGGCAUAUUUCUGGUGAAUGCUAUGUUGGUGUAUAUGGAUCAUUUUACGUAAAAAUUUUAUGUGUGUGCUUUGGUUAGUCAGAUUACCAACGCUAUUUACAGUGGCAUGCCACUUAUUUUUUCCGUAAAUAGUUCAUCAUCAGUUU
rnacentral:rRNA from 1 species